AAAGGCGCUUUCGGGUGUCGCUGAUGGAUGGACCCGCGGUGCAUUAGCUAGUUGGUGAGGUAACGGCUCACCAAGGCCACGAUGCAUAGCCGACCUGAGAGGGUGAUCGGCCACAUUGGGACUGAGACACGGCCCAAACUCCUACGGGAGGCAGCAGUAGGGAAUCUUCGGCAAUGGACGAAAGUCUGACCGAGCAACGCCGCGUGAGUGAAGAAGGUUUUCGGAUCGUAAAACUCUGUUGUUAGAGAAGAACAAGGAUGAGAGUAACUGUUCAUCCCUUGACGGUAUCUAACCAGAAAGCCACGGCUAACUACGUGCCAGCAGCCGCGGUAAUACGUAGGUGGCAAGCGUUGUCCGGAUUUAUUGGGCGUAAAGCGAGCGCAGGCGGUUUCUUAAGUCUGAUGUGAAAGCCCCCGGCUCAACCGGGGAGGGUCAUUGGAAACUGGGAGACUUGAGUGCAGAAGAGGAGAGUGGAAUUCCAUGUGUAGCGGUGAAAUGCGUAGAUAUAUGGAGGAACACCAGUGGCGAAGGCGGCUCUCUGGUCUGUAACUGACGCUGAGGCUCGAAAGCGUGGGGAGCAAACAGGAUUAGAUACCCUGGUAGUCCACGCCGUAAACGAUGAGUGCUAAGUGUUGGAGGGUUUCCGCCCUUCAGUGCUGCAGCUAACGCAUUAAGCACUCCGCCUGGGGAGUACGACCGCAAGGUUGAAACUCAAAGGAAUUGACGGGGGCCCGCACAAGCGGUGGAGCAUGUGGUUUAAUUCGAAGCAACGCGAAGAACCUUACCAGGUCUUGACAUCCUUUGACCACUCUAGAGAUAGAGCUUCCCCUUCGGGGGCAAAGUGACAGGUGGUGCAUGGUUGUCGUCAGCUCGUGUCGUGAGAUGUUGGGUUAAGUCCCGCAACGAGCGCAACCCUUAUUGUUAGUUGCCAUCAUUCAGUUGGGCACUCUAGCAAGACUGCCGGUGACAAACCGGAGGAAGGUGGGGAUGACGUCAAAUCAUCAUGCCCCUUAUGACCUGGGCUACACACGUGCUACAAUGGGAAGUACAACGAGUUGCGAAGUCGCGAGGCUAAGCUAAUCUCUUAAAGCUUCUCUCAGUUCGGAUUGCAGGCUGCAACUCGCCUGCAUGAAGCCGGAAUCGCUAGUAAUCGCGGAUCAGCACGCCGCGGUGAAUACGUUCCCGGGCCUUGUACACACCGCCCGUCACACCACGAGAGUUUGUAACACCCGAAGUCGGU
rnacentral:rRNA from 1 species